AACGCACCUUGCGCCCUUUGGCAUUCCGAGGGGCACACCCGUUUGAGUGUCGUGACAUUCUCAAAACCUUCUUGGUUUCUUGACCACGGAAGGCUUUGGACUUGGAGGCUUUUUGCUGGCUUUCCUUUGUUGGAGCCAGCUCCUCUGAAAUGGAUUAGUAGGGUCUGCUUUGCCGAUCCUUGACGUGAUAAGAUGUUUUCUACGUCUCGGGUUCUGCACUCCUGCUUCUAACUGUCUCAUAGAAGACAAAUGGUCAAAGUGAUUGCCACUUUUUGACCCACGAACCUUGACCUCAAAUCGGGUGAGACUACCCGCUGAACUUA
rnacentral:rRNA from 1 species